UAGUCCACGCCCUAAACGAUGGAUGCUAGGUGUGGGGGUUUUACCUCCUUGCCGUAGCUAACGCAUUAAGCAUCCCGUCUGGGGAGUACGUUCGCAAGAAUGAAACUCAAAGGAAUUGACGGGGGCCCGCACAAGCGGUGGAGCAUGUGGUUUAAUUCGAUGAUACGCGAGGAACCUUACCAGGGCUUAAAUGUAAGUUGCAUUAGCUAGAGAUAGCUAUUUCUUCGGACUACUUACAAGGUGCUGCAUGGUUGUCGUCAGCUCGUGCCGUGAGGUGUCAGGUUAAGUCCUAUAACGAGCGCAACCCCUGUUGUUAGUUGCCAGCGAGUCAAGUCGGGAACUCUAACAAGACUGCCAGUGCAAACUGUGAGGAAGGUGGGGAUGACGUCAAAUCAUCACGGCCCUUACGUCCUGGGCUACACACGUGCUACAAUGGUAGGUACAGAGAGCAGCCACAACGCGAGUUGGAGCGAAUCUAUAAAACCUAUCACAGUUCGGAUCGGAGU
rnacentral:rRNA from 1 species